UCAGCUAUGAGACCCAGGAGAUGUCAGCCGACAUGUCGGGCCAGAACAAGCUGAUCGGUGACCAGGCCGGCAUUGAGAUGCGCGGCAGCUACACCUACAUCUCGCCCGAGGGCAGGACCGUCAAAGUCACGUGGAUCGCCAACGAGCAGGGCUUCCAGGCGGACCCCCAGGUGUCUGAGGAGUGACGUCAUUCCCCACUAGCAGUACGUCCAAUCCCACCAACCCGGCGUCACGUCCCGCCGGCGAUCACGGCAGCUAGCGCGGGUCAACAGCGAUAACACCAGGAGACCCGCAGGUCUCACUGCUGGGUGACGUCAUUAUGGCGUCAUCCUGUGCAGCGCGCAUACCUCCCGCUCAUGUUCAUAUUUGUCCCCAAUAAACUAACGAUGUGAG